rnacentral:tRNA from 1 species
GCGGUCGUGGCGGAAUUGGUAGACGCGCAGCGUUGAGGUCGCUGUGGGGUAAGACCCGUGGAAGUUCGAGUCUUCUCGACCGCACCA